CAAUCCACGACCACCUCUCCCAGCUGCUCACUGUGUAGAGGAAGAGGAGUGCUGGGGCAUCCUGCAUGAGGCAGUCCCUGUUCAAGCUGCCCACCGGGAUAACAGACAGCACCACCGGCAAUGUGUAAAGGUCAAUGGGAAGGAGGUCAGUGGUCUACGGGAUACCGGUGCAACCAUGACUUUGCUUCCGAAGCACCUGGUGUCCGAGGCCCAACAUACCGGGGACACGGUCGCAGUGCGAGUAGCCGGGGGUGCCGCGUUUCAUCUACCCGUUGCCCGGGUACAUUUGGAUUGGGGAGUGGGCGCUAGACAUGUAAAUGUGGGGGUCAUAAAGGACUUACCAGCAGAUGUUCUUCUUGGCAAUGACUUGGCGCCCCUUGUUUCAGCCUUCGCUCCCAUGGGUCCUGCGGAAGUUGAUGCUGUCACGACCCGUGCCGCCGAGACCGGCCCACCUGCUGCUGAGACCCAGGUAAGACUCUCUACCCCGACUUGUACCUUAGACCAGGCCCCUUUAGGCUGGGACACCCCAGAGAUGUACGGGAAGGAAACUAGGGAAGACCCGACGUUAGCAAAGUACAGGG